rnacentral:rRNA from 1 species
UACAGGGAGUGCAAACGUUGCCCGGAAUCAUUGGGCGUAAAGCGCACGUAGGCGGUCUGUUAUGUCGGAUGUGAAAGCCCUUGGCUUAACUGAGGAAGUGCAUCCGAAACUGGCAAGCUAGAGUACUAAAGAAGGUCGCGGAAUUCCCGGUAUAGAGGUGAAAUUCGUAGAUAUCGAAAGGAACACCAAUGACGAAGGCGGCGACCUGAGUAGAUACUGACGCUGAGGUGCGAAAGCGUAAAAAGCAAACAGG